rnacentral:lncRNA from 1 species
AACAAUUUUACAGAAAAAAAUGAUGUAUCAAACAACAAUUUGUAAAAAAUACAUGAUCGUUGUAUGUAAAUUUGUUUUGGGUUAAAAGGUUCAAUACAGAUAUAGUACAAAAUGUACUUCACAUCUCACAUCUUUAAACAAAAGUCAACAAUUUAAUAACAACAGCAUAAAAGUUACAUAAAAAUCUGCUAUUGGUCUUUAAUUUAAAAUAACCUAACUUCCAGUUUAUCAUAACUUCUAAGAUGUUUAACAAUCUGGAUUAUGCUGUCAUGAAUUUGAAAAGAAUAAAAAAAAAAAAAAAACAGAAAGAGUUUCAUAAAUAAUUUACAUUCCUACACAAUAAAGGCAUAGCAGCAAAAUCAUUUAGUGUUGAAACAAAUCCUUUAAAAAAGUUUCAAUUCCAAGAUCUAUUGACAAGCAAGUUUUCUUCAAAUGAAAUGCACAAGUUUGACAAGUAUAACAAAUAAAAUGAUUGACUAUUGUUAAAUUUACUAAUGCAGAACAUUUUUAUAAUGUUUGUGUUUAAUGCUGUGCCUUUAGUGUACUAGUCAGGGGAAGAUACAAGAUUAUUCUUAACAGUGGCUAAGCAGACAUGUUGCUGACUAUCAACAGGUAGCCAAGUACAAUUUCUGCUCACUGCAGGUAACGGAGCAUUUAUUUCCACCCCUAAAUACAUAAAAUUCAACAAUUUAUAGUACAUGUUAUUAUUACACCCCAAGUCAUCAAUGAAAUAAUGUAGAACAUUUAAAAUAUUACGAUGCAAACACUAUACCCAUCUACUCACUACAUAAAUCAAACUGCUAGCAAGUUUAUUUUGGAGUUAUUUCUUUUAGCCAAAAUUUUUUAUGAUGAUUUUUUUACAUUUUUAUUAGUA